rnacentral:rRNA from 1 species
AUUGAACGCUGGCGGCAGGCCUAACACAUGCAAGUCGAACGAGUGGCGGACGGGUGAGUAAUGUCUGGGAAACUGCCUGAUGGAGGGGGAUAACUACUGGAAACGGUAGCUAAUACCGCAUACCAUCAGAUGUGCCCAGAUGGGCUUAGCUAGUAGGUGGGGUAACGGCUCACCUAGGCGACGAUCCCUAGCUGGUCUGAGAGGAUGACCAGCCACACUGGACAGGAGACAGGGUCCAGACGCCUACGGGAGGCAGCAGUGGGGAAUAUGGCACAAUGGGCGAAAGCCUGAGGCAGCAAGGCCGCGUGGAUGAAGAAGGCCUUCGGGUUGUAAAGUACGUUCAGCGAGGAGGCGUUACUCGCAGAAGAAGCACCGGCUAACUCCGUGCCAGCAGCCGCGGUAAUUC